rnacentral:rRNA from 1 species
GUGAGGAAUAUUGGACAAUGGGCGCAAGCCUGAUCCAGCCAUGCCGCGUGCAGGAAGACGCAUCUAUGGUGUGUAAACUGCUUUUGUACGGGAAGAAACACUCCCUCGUGAGGGAGCUUGACGGUACCGUAAGAAUAAGGAUCGGCUAACUCCGUGCCAGCAGCCGCGGUAAUACGGAGGAUCCAAGCGUUAUCCGGAAUCAUUGGGUUUAAAGGGUCCGUAGGCGGUUUAAUAAGUCAGUGGUGAAAGCCCAUCGCUCAACGAUGGAACGGCCAUUGAUACUGUUAGACUUGAAUUACAAGGAAGUAACUAGAAUAUGUAGUGUAGCGGUGAAAUGCUUAGAUAUUACAUGGAAUACCAAUUGCGAAGGCAGGUUACUACUUGUGGAUUGACGCUGAUGGACGAAAGCGUGAGGAGCGAACAGGAUUAGAUACCCGGGUAGUCC